rnacentral:rRNA from 1 species
UGUAUUUAUUAGAUUAAAAACCAAUGCCCUUCGGGGCUCCUUGGUGAUUCAUAAUAACUUAACGAAUCGCAUGGCCUUGUGCCGGCGAUGGUUCAUUCAAAUUUCUGCCCUAUCAACUUUCGAUGGUAGUAUAUGGGACUACCAUGGUUUCAACGGGUAACGGGGAAUUAGGGUUCUAUUCCGGAGAGGGAGCCUGAGAAACGGCUACCACAUCCAAGGAAGGCAGCAGGCGCGCAAAUUACCCAAUCCCGACACGGGGAGGUAGUGACAAUAAAUACUGAUACAGGGCUCUUUUGGGUCUUGUAAUUGGAAUGAGUACAAUUUAAAUCCCUUAACGAGGAACAAUUGGAGGGCAAGUCUGGUGCCAGCAGCCGCGGUAAUACCAGCUCCAAUAGCGUAUAUUAAAGUUGUUGCAGUUAAAAAGCUCGUAGUUGAACCUUGGGCCUGGCUGGCCGGUCCGCCUCACCGCGUGUACUGGUCCGGCCGGGCCUUUCCUUCUGGAGAGCCCCAUGCCCCUCACUGGGCGUGUGGGGGAACCAGG